rnacentral:tRNA from 1 species
GGAGAGAUCGCAUAGCUGGCCGAGUGCGCGUGCUUGGAAAGCACGUAGGCGGGCAACUGCCUCCAGGGUUCGAAUCCCUGUCUCUCCGCCA